rnacentral:rRNA from 1 species
CCUACGGGAGGCAGCAGUAGGGAAUCUUCCACAAUGGGCGAAAGCCUGAUGGAGCAACGCCGCGUGGGUGAAGAAGGUCUUCGGAUCGUAAAACCCUGUUGUUAGAGAAGAAAGUGCGUGAGAGUAACUGUUCACGUUUCGACGGUAUCUAACCAGAAAGCCACGGCUAACUACGUGCCAGCAGUCGCGGUAAUACGUAGGUGGCAAGCGUUAUCCGGAUUUAUUGGGCGUAAAGGGAACGCAGGCGGUCUUUUAAGUCUGAUGUGAAAGCCUUCGGCUUAACCGGAGUAGUGCAUUGGAAACUGUGAGACGUGAGUGCAGAAGAGGAGAGUGGAACUCCAUGUGUAGCGGUGAAAUGCGUAGAGAUAUGGAAGAACACCAGUGGCGAAAGCGGCUCUCUGGUCUGUAACUGACGCUGAGGUUCGAAAGCGUGGGUAGCAAACAGGAUUAGAUACCCCUGUAGUC